AUAUGUUAAGUGGAAAAGGAUGUGGCGUUGCCCAGACAACUAGGAUGUUGGCUUAGAAGCAGCCAUCAUUUAAAGAGUGCGUAAUAGCUCACUAGUCGAGUGACACUGCGCCGAAAAUGUACCGGGGCUAAACAUAUUACCGAAGCUGUGGAUUGUCCUUUGGACAAUGGUAGGAGAGCGUUCUAAGGGCGUUGAAGCAUGAUCGUAAGGACAUGUGGAGCGCUUAGAAGUGAGAAUGCCGGUGUGAGUAGCGAAAGACGGGUGAGAAUCCCGUCCACCGAUUGACUAAGGUUUCCAGAGGAAGGCUCGUCCGCUCUGGGUUAGUCGGGUCCUAAGCUGAGGCCGACAGGCGUAGGCGAUGGAUAACAGGUUGAUAUUCCUGUACCACCUAUAAUCGUUUUAAUCGAUGGGGGGACGCAGUAGGAUAGGCGAAGCGUGCGAUUGGAUUGCACGUCUAAGCAGUAAGGCUGAGUAUUAGGCAAAUCCGGUACUCGUUAAGGCUGAGCUGUGAUGGGGAGAAGACAUUGUGUCUUCGAGUCGUUGAUUUCACACUGCCGAGAAAAGCCUCUAGAUAGAAAAUAGGUGCCCGUACCGCAAACCGACACAGGUAGUCAAGAUGAGAAUUCUAAGGUGAGCGAGCGAACUCUCGUUAAGGAACUCGGCAAAAUGACCCCGUAACUUCGGGAGAAGGGGUGCUCUUUAGGGUUAACGCCCAGAAGAGCCGCAGUGAAUAGGCCCAAGCGACUGUUUAUCAAAAACACAGGUCUCUGCUAAACCGUAAGGUGAUGUAUAGGGGCUGACGCCUGCCCGGUGCUGGAAGGUUAAGAGGAGUGGUUAGCUUCUGCGAAGCUACGAAUCGAAGCCCCAGUAAACGGCGGCCGUAACUAUAACGGUCCUAAGGUAGCGAAAUUCCUUGUCGGGUAAGUUCCGACCCGCACGAAAGGCGUAACGAUUUGGGCACUGUCUCAACGAGAGACUCGGUGAAAUCAUAGUACCUGUGAAGAUGCAGGUUACCCGCGACAGGACGGAAAGACCCCGUGGAGCUUUACUGUAGCCUGAUAUUGAAAUUCGGCACAGCUUGUACAGGAUAGGUAGGAGCCUUUGAAACGUGAGCGCUAGCUUACGUGGAGGCGCUGGUGGGAUACUACCCUAGCUGUGUUGGCUUUCUAACCCGCACCACUUA
rnacentral:rRNA from 1 species